AGGGGAAUAGCUCAGUGGUAGAGUGCAUGCUCGGUGUGCACAAGGUCCUGGGUUCAAUCCCCAGUUCCCCCA
rfam:Camelus ferus unplaced genomic scaffold scaffold1984, whole genome shotgun sequence.